GUUGGGGACCGCAAGGCCUGACGCUUCAUGAUAAGCCCGCGACCUAUCAGCUAGUUGGUGAGGUAACGGCCCACCAAGGCUUAGACGGGUAGCUGGUCUGAGAGGACGACCAGCCACACUGGAACUGAGACACGGUCCAGACACCUACGGGUGGCAGCAGUCGAGAAUUUUUCACAAUGGGCGAAAGCCUGAUGGAGCGACGCCGCGUGGGGGAUGAAGGGCUUCGGCCUGUAAACCCCUGUCAUUUGCGAACAAACCUUUUCACUGAACAAGUGAGAAGCUGAUAGUAGCGAAAGAGGAAGGGACGGCUAACUCUGUGCCAGCAGCCGCGGUAAUACAGAGGUCCCAAGCGUUGUUCGGAUUCACUGGGCGUAAAGGGUGCGUAGGUGGUCGAAUAAGUCUGAUGUGAAAGCUCCGGGCUUAACCCGGAAACGGCAUUAGAAACUGUUCGGCUGGAGGAUUGGAAGGGAGACUGGAAUUCUCGGUGUAGCAGUGAAAUGCGUAGAGAUCGAGAGGAACACCAGUGGCGAAGGCGGGUCUCUGGACAAUCCCUGACACUGAGGCACGAAAGCUAGGGGAGCAAACAGGAUUAGAUACCCUGGUAGUCCUAGCUGUAAACGGUGCGCAUUUGCUGUAAGAGGAUUCGACCCCUUUUGUGGCGAAGCUAACGCGUUAAAUGUGCCGCCUGGGAAGUACGAUCGCAAGAUUAAAACUCAAAGAAAUUGACGGGGGCCUGCACAAGCGGUGGAGUAUGUGGCUUAAUUCGAUGCAACGCGAAGAACCUUACCUGGCCUUGACAUGUAUCUAGUAGAAGGGUGAAAGCCUGACGAGGUAGCAAUACCAGGAUACACAGGUGCUGCAUGGCUGUCGUCAGCUCGUGUCGUGAGAUGUUGGGUUAAGUCCCGCAACGAGCGCAACCCCCGUGUCCUGUUGCUAUCCGGAUGAGAGUCUGGAGCACUCUGGACAAACUGCCUCGCUUAAACGAGGAGGAAGGUGGGGAUGACGUCAAGUCAGGAUGGCCCUUACGGCCAGGGCUGCACACGUACUACAAUGCCCGGUACAAAGGGAAGCAAUACCGCAAGGUGGAGCCAAUCCCCAAAAAGCGGGCUCAGUUCAGAUUGUCGGCUGCAAUUCGCCGGCAUGAAGCUGGAAUCGCUAGUAAUGGCGCAUCAGCUACGGCGCCGUGAAUACGUUCCCAGGCC
rnacentral:rRNA from 1 species